CAGCGGUGCCAGGCCCUAGAGGUGGUGGCAGACCCUGAGCCACCUAGCCCAUGUCUCCACCCCCGUCUGGAGGGCCUUGGGGGCUAAGAGCAGCCCUGGCCUGGCCUGUGGUCCCUCAGGGACACACAGGGAGGUAGGAGGUGAGGGAAGGGCCCUGGCAGCCCCCAGCCCGCCUGCACACUCUCCCCUGCACACGCCCUCAAGCCUGGCGCUCCCUGGAAACCUGAGCUGCCUCCCGCCUGCUCCGGCCACCGCCAUGUUUAACUGAGCACGGGCAGCCGCUGGCCACCGCCGCCGCACCCUGGCCCACCCCCUGGCUGGGAGGUGGUCAUUGGGCCUGGCCCUGCCUGCAUGGUCCCCUGGCCCAGAGCCCUACUGCAGGAUGCCGGAGGAUGUCAGUGGGCCCCUGAGGGAGCUGCGCCCUCGGCUCUGCCACCUGCGAAAGGGACCUCAGGGCUAUGGGUUCAACCUGCAUAGCGACAAGUCCCGGCCUGGCCAGUACAUCCGCUCCGUGGACCCGGGCUCACCUGCCGCCCGCUCUGGCCUCCGCGCCCAGGACCGGCUCAUUGAGGUGAACGGGCAGAAUGUGGAGGGACUGCGCCACGCUGAUGUGGUGGCCAGCAUCAAGGCACAGGAGGAUGAGGCCCGGCUGCUGGUGGUGGACCCC
rnacentral:sRNA from 1 species